GUUCUCACAUUCAGUGUCUACAGGGUCCCAGCACCGACGCUCAGUUCUCACAUUCAGUGUCUACAGGGUCCCAGCACCGACGCUCAGUUCUCACACUCAGUGUCUACAGGGUCCCAGCACCGACGCCCAGUUCUCACAUUCAGUGUCUACAGGGUCCCAGCACCGACGCUCAGUUCUCACAUUCAGUGUCUACAGGGUCCCAGCACCGACGCUCAGUUCUCACACUCAGUGUCUACAGGGUCCCAGCACCGACGCCCAGUUCUCACCCUCAGUGUCUACAGGGUCCCAGCACAGACGCCCAGUUCUCACCCUCAGUGUCUACAGGGUCCCAGCACCGACGCCCAGUUCUCACACUCACAGUGUCUACAGGGUCCCAGCACCCACGCCCAGUUCUCACACUCGCAGUGUCCACAGGGGCCCAGCACCGACGCCCAGUUCUCACACUCACAGUGUCUAGAGGGUCCCAGCACCGACGCCCAGUUCUCACACUCACAGUAUCUACAGGGUCCCAGCACCGACGCCCAGUUCUCACACUCACAGUAUCUACAGGGUCCCAGCACCGACGCCCAGUUCUCACACUCAGUGUCUUCAGGGUCCCAGCACCGACGCCCAGUUCUCACACAGUGUCUACAGGGUCCCAGCACCGACACCCAGUUCUCACACUCAGUGUCUACAGGGUCCCAGCACCGACACCCAGUUCUCACACUCAGUGUCUACAGGGUCCCAGCACCGACGCCCAGUUCUCACACUCGCAGUGUCCACAGGGUCCCAGCACCGACACCCAGUUCUCACACUCGCAGUGUCCACAGGGUCCCAGCACCGACACCCAGUUCUCACACUCGCAGUGUCCACAGGGUCCCAGCACCGACGCCCAGUUCUCACACUCAGUGUCUACAGGGUCCCAGCACCGACGCCCAGUUCUCACACUCACAGUGUCCACAGGGUCCCAGCACCGACGCCCAGUUCUCACACUCGCAGUGUCCACAGGGUCCCAGCACCGACGCCCAGUUCUCACACUCAGUGUCUACAGGGUCCCAGCACCGACGCCCAGUUCUCACACUCACAGUGUCUAGAGGGUCCCAGCACCCACGCCCAGUUCUCACACUAAGUGUCUACAGGGUUCCAGCACCGACGCCCAGUUCUCACACUCAGUGUCUACAGGGUCCCAGCACUGACACCCAGUUCUCACCCUCAGUGUCUACAGGGUCCCAGCACCGAUGCCCGGUUCUCACACUCACAGUGUCUACAGGGUCCCAGCACCGACGCCCAGUUCUCAC
rnacentral:lncRNA from 1 species